UCCGAUAUGGUGUAGUGGUUAACAUCGUUCGCUCUCAUGAGCACAACGGGUUUCAUAUCUGUUCGCUUGCGAUCCGAACAGCCCCGGGUUCGAUUCCCGGUGUCGGAA